GAUGAACGCUGGCGGCGUGCUUAACACAUGCAAGUCGAACGGAAAGGCUCCUGCUUGCAGGGGUACUCGAGUGGCGAACGGGUGAGUAACACGUGGGUGAUCUGCCCUGCACUUCGGGAUAAGCCUGGGAAACUGGGGCUAAUACCGGAUAGGACCUCAUUUUGGAUGGUGUGGUGUAAAGUUUUUCGGUGGGGGGUGAAAUCGUGGCCUAUCAGCUUGUUGGUGGGGUGGUGGCCUACUAAGGCGUCGACGGGCAGACGGCCUGAGAGGGUGAACGGCCACAGUGGGACUGAGCUACGGCCCAGACUCGUGCGGGAGGCAGCAGUGGGGAAGAUUGCACAAUGGGCGGAAGCAUUAUGCAGCAACGCCGCGGGCGGGAUGAGGGCCUUCGGGUUGUAAACCGGUUGCGCCUGUGAAGAAGCGUGAGUGACGGUAAUGGGUAAAGAAGCACCGGCUAACUACGUG
rnacentral:rRNA from 1 species